rnacentral:rRNA from 1 species
UGAGGAAUAUUGGUCAAUGGGCGAGAGCCUGAACCAGCCAAGUAGCGUGAAGGAUGACUGCCCUAUGGGGUUGUAAACUUCUUUUAUAAGGAAUAAAGUACGGGUUAGUGGA